rnacentral:tRNA from 1 species
AUUGAAGUAGCAAAAACAAUGCAUAGGAUUUAAGAUCCUAAGAUGAAAUUAUUAAAUUUCCUCCAAUA